GCUGAUGCUGCGCUCCAAGUUUAAUGUGACUGUGUUUCUGUGGCUUCCUGCACGUUAUGGACACGAUCUGUGACAUUAAUCAUCAGUAUUUUAGUUGCUGGGAUUCUGAACACUUGACAAAUAUUUAGAAAUAUACGUUGUUGUUGUGUUGUUUUGAUAACAGGUUACUGCUCAAGUUUAUUGCAGAAAUGCAGAGUAAACAUUAAAGAGGGAGACACCGGACCUGUAACACUAACCACUAAGCCGCUGUGCAGCCCUACCAAGAAAAUCAUUGUAUUUGCAGCAAAUUUGCUCCAAACAGUGACCUGCAGUAAACCUGCCAUCAGUUUUCCACAAAGUUUGAGGUCUAGUCCACCAGAAUUCCAGGAGUUCAGCCCUGGACCAGACUCAUUGUCCUCCCUGAUGACUUGACGUCUCUGUCUGUCACCGAGACGCAGAUACAAAGACGACGCACAAUGAGACGCAGCACUGCCUCCGGUGGCCGCCUGGCAUCCUGACAGGGUCUCUUUCAAAGGUUACAUGUCAAUCCCAUCUGACAGCCGUGAUAAAGACUUUGGGAUCUGGGCAGGAAUCAAUGUUGUGAAACGGCACCAAGUUAUGCAAAACCGAGCAAUUAUUACAACUUGUUUCCUUGUUUUAAUGUUGUGACCUGACAGCAAAUGUACUGUUACUGAGCAUUACUUAUAAACACUGAAAAAGUACAGAGAGAGGAUGUUUUUUUUCUAAACUCUGGUGUGUUUCUGGGAGGUUAAAGUGUUAUUUUCCCUCAGUUUCAAUGGGAUACAGUAAAGUUCAUAUCUAGUCUGAACCUCUAAGUGUCCCCAAUGUGCCUUUCAAUGGGAAUAUUUGGAUUUGUUGGGUUUUCCAUGUACAAUUUUAUCGAAUAUGAACCAUUAUUGUAAAUAUACUAAAAUUUGGAAGGUUAAUCUUCUUCCUUUUUUUAGUUUGAAAAAGUUUUCAUAAAACAUUAGUCCUUUUACAUAGUCUCAGUAUUGCUGCAAGUGGAUUUACAUUCCGUACGACUAAAAUAAAAUAUACCGCAGUAUGUUGAUAACCCCUUGUAA
ensembl:lncRNA